GGGGAUUUAGCUCAGUGGCACCGCAUCUGCCUUACAAGCACAAGGUCCUGAGUUUGAUCCUCAGUACCACCA
rfam:Heterocephalus glaber contig84975, whole genome shotgun sequence.